UACAGAGGAUGCAAGCGUUAUCCGGAAUUAUUGGGCGUAAAGAGCUCGUAGGCGGUCUGUCGCGUCUGCUGUGAAAACUCAGGGCUUAACCCUGAGCUUGCAGUGGGUACGGGCAGACUAGAGUGCGGUAGGGGAGACUGGAAUUCCUGGUGUAGCGGUGAAAUGCGCAGAUAUCAGGAGGAACACCGGUGGCGAAGGCGGGUCUCUGGGCCGUAACUGACGCUGAGGAGCGAAAGCAUGGGGAGCGAACAGG
rnacentral:rRNA from 1 species